UACAGGGGGGGCAAGCGUUGUUCGGAAUUACUGGGCGUAAAGGGCUCGUAGGCGGCCAACUAAGUCACACGUGAAAUCCCCAGGCUUAACCUGGGAACUGCGUGUGAUACUGGAUGGCUUGAAUCCGGGAGAGGGAUGCGGAAUUCCAGGUGUAGCGGUGAAAUGCGUAGAGAUCGUAAGGAAGACCAGUGGCGAAGGCGGGUCUCUGGGACAGUUCCUGACACUGAGGCACGAAGGCCAGGGGAGCAAACGGGG
rnacentral:rRNA from 1 species